rnacentral:rRNA from 1 species
UACAGAGGUGGCAAGCGUUGUUCGGAAUUACUGGGCGUAAAGGGCGCGUAGGCGGCCAUCUAAGUCAGACGUGAAAUCCCCCGGCUUAACCUGGGAACUGCGUCUGAUACUGGAAGGCUUGAGUAUGGGAGAGGGAUGUAGAAUUCCAGGUGUAGCGGUGAAAUGCGUAGAUAUCAGGAGGAACACCAAUAGCGAAGGCAGCUCGCUGGGACGUUACUGACACUGAGGCGCGAAAGCGUGGGGAGCGAACAGG